GUCUCUUCCAAGACAUACAAUAAAACUGGAAUGAUACAGAUAAGAUUAGCAUGGUUGACACAAACAAAUCCAGAGACGAUCACCCAAAAU
rnacentral:snRNA from 1 species